rnacentral:rRNA from 1 species
AGAAUCAACGCUGGCGGCGUGCCUAACACAUGCAAGUCGAACGAGAAAGUGGAGCAAUCCAUGAGUAAAGUGGCGACCGGGUGAGUAACACGUGACUAACCUACCUUCGAGUGGGGGAUAACCUCGGGAAAACCGGGGCUAAUACCGCAUAAUGCCUUCGGGUUAAAGGAGCAAUUCGCUUGAAGAGGGGGUCGCGGCUGAUUAGCUAGUUGGCGGGUAACGCCCACAAGGCGAUGAUCGGUAGCCGGCCUGAGAGGGCGCACGGCCACACUGGAACUGAAACACGGUCCAGACUCCUACGGGAGGCAGCAGUGGGGAAUUUGCGCAAUGGGGAAACCCUGACGCGGCAACGCCGCGUGGAGGAUGAAGUCCCUUGGGACGUAAACUCCUUUCGACCGGGACGAUAAUGACGGUACCGGUGGAAGAGGCCCCGGCUAACUUCGCGCCAGCAGCCGC